GCGGUAGUGGUUUAGUGGUAAAAUCCAUCGUUGCCAUCGAUGGGCCCCGCGUUCGAUUCGCGGCUACCGCA
rnacentral:tRNA from 2 species